UGUACCACUACACUGAUUUUGCAGCGUCUUUCCCCCUUUCUUCUUUAACAUAAUGGUAUAGUCCUAGUCUGUCUUUCCAUUUGAUUGGACGCAUCGAGUGCCACAUGCAAAUAGGUCCCGCCUCUGCCUGCGGCUGAAGAUGCAGCUCUCUUGCUGACGGGAGCCGGCUCUUCUAGUUGGCUACAAAGAAUCGGCUCAGAGCAGGCUCGUUGCAAACGAUUCAUCAUUACUGUACGCAGUAGUGAUUGGCAGUCCGGCUAUUUCCGUAGAUGCGGCUCUCUCGGCUCAAGCUCCGGCUCUACGUUUUAGUGAUGGCAGUCCGGCUCUUUUCAUAGAUACGGAUCUUCUGACUCGGCUUUUUAGAAGAGCCGGCUCUUACGGUCCCACCCCUGCCUGCGUCUGAAGAUUCGGUUCUGCUCGUUUGCUACAAAGAAUCAGCUCUUGGAGCCGGCUCGUUCGCGAACGACCCAUCACUAGUACGCAUGCGUUGUUUGUUUUGUCGUCGUUGGUGGAUAAGCUGUUGUGUCGUGUAUCAUAAAGUUGCUGGUGUUCUUAAACAAAGAUGCCACGUAAAAAGGGGUUCCGGAGAUCUGAGGCGGCUAAGAGGCGCAUGGCUGUUGUCAGUCAUGUUGAGCCUCUUGUAAAAAUACCCGCAUAUGAGGUUGGGCCUCCUCUCAAAAGUGCUCCAAUACCGACAAUUUAUUGUCCCAAAACUGUCAAUGAGAAAGUCCAUGUGACUGCCAAAACUGUCAAUGAGAAAGUCCAUGGGACUGCCAAAACUGUCAAUGAGAAAGUCCACGCGACUGCCAAUAAAACUGUCAUUGAAACUGUCAUUGAAACUGUCAUUGAGAAAGUCCAUGGGACUGCCAAUAAAACUGUCAUUGAGAAAGUCCAUGGGACUGCCAAUAAAACUGUCAUUGAGAAAGUCAAUGGGACUGCCAAUAAAACUGUCAUUGAGAAAGUCCAUGGGACUGCCUAUAAGACUGUCAAUGAGAAAGUGCAUGUGAUUGACAAGGUAUCUGCCAAUGAAGCUGAUAAAGUACUGGAUGGAGCAGUUAUAAGAGGAUCGUUCAGUCAAGACGAUAUGCGAUUUGGUAGUACAAGAAAUAAGCAGUGUGCGGCUAUUAGUUUAACAUCUGUACUUCAGCACUGUGUAAAAAAUGUUUUGACAUGGCAAACUGCAGAUUUGGAUAAUGUACUGAAUAAGGGAAAUGACCUUUAUGUUGUUUUAAAAAAUACAAGGCAAAUAGGAAAAGGCCAGUGUGAAUACAUAUUGAUUCCAGAACUUCCCAGAACAUGUAUGUACUGUGACAAAUAUUUUGAAAUAAAGUUUGGUUCAUCUUU